CCUACGGGAGGCAGCAGUGAGGAAUAUUGGUCAAUGGGCGCUAGCCUGAACCAGCCAAGUAGCGUGAAGGAUGACUGCCCUAUGGGUUGUAAACUUCUUUUAUAUGGGAAUAAAGUGCAGUACGUAUACUGCUUUGCAUGUACCUUAUGAAUAAGGCUCGGCUAACUCCGUGCCAGCAGCCGCGGUAAUACGGAGGGUCCGAGCGUUAUCCGGAUUUAUUGGGUUUAAAGGGAGCGUAGGCGGGUUGUUAAGUCAGUUGUGAAAGUUUGCGGCUCAACCGUAAAAUUGCAUGUGAUACUGGCAGCCUUGAGUACAGUAGAGGCAGGCGGAAUUCGUGGUGUAGCGGUGAAAUGCUUAGAUAUCACGAAGAACUCCGAUUGCGAAGGCAGCCUGCUGGACUGUAACUGACGCUGAUGCUCGAAAGUGUGGGUAUCAAACAGGAUUAGAUACCCGGGUAGUC
rnacentral:rRNA from 1 species